rnacentral:rRNA from 1 species
UACGUAGGGGGCAAGCGUUGUCCGGAAUCAUUGGGCGUAAAGAGCGUGUAGGCGGUCCGGUAAGUCGGCUGUGAAAGUCCAAGGCUCAACCUUGGGAUGCCGGUCGAUACUGCCGGACUAGAGUUCGGAAGAGGCGAGUGGAAUUCCCGGUGUAGCGGUGAAAGUGCGCAGAUAUCGGGAGGAACACCUAUGGCGAAGGCAGCUCGCUGGGACGUUACUGACGCUGAGACGCGAAAGCGUGGGGAGCAAACAGG